rnacentral:rRNA from 1 species
GACGAACGCUGGCGGCGUGCUUAACACAUGCAAGUCGAACGGAAAGGCCCUGCUUUUGUGGGGUGCUCGAGUGGCGAACGGGUGAGUAACACGUGAGUAACCUGCCCUUGACUUUGGGAUAACUUCAGGGAACUGGGGCUAAUACCGGAUAGGAUCUCCUGCUGCACGGUGGGGGUUGGAAAGUUUCGGCCGUUGGGGAUGGUCUCGCGGGUUAUCAGCUAGUUGGUGGGGUAGUGGCAUACCAAGGGUUUGACGGGUAGCCGGCCUGGGAGGGUGGACAGCCACCUUGGGACUAAGGGACGGACCAGAAUCGAACGGGAGGCAGCAGUGGGAAAUAUUGCGGAAUGGGGCGAAGCGUGAUGCAGCAGCGCCGCGUGCGGAAUAACGGGCUUCGGGUUGAGAACCGAUUUCGAAUGUAACAAAGCGUUAGUGACGGUAAUGGGUAAAGAAGCACCGGCUAACUACGUG